GGGUUGUAAACUUCUUUUAUAAAGGAAUAAAGUCGGGUAUGGAUACCCGUUUGCAUGUACUUUAUGAAUAAGGAUCGGCUAACUCCGUGCCAGCAGCCGCGGUAAUACGGAGGAUCCGAGCGUUAUCCGGAUUUAUUGGGUUUAAAGGGAGCGUAGAUGGAUGUUUAAGUCAGUUGUGAAAGUUUGCGGCUCAACCGUAAAAUUGCAGUUGAUACUGGAUAUCUUGAGUGCAGUUGAGGCAGGCGGAAUUCGUGGUGUAGCGGUGAAAUGCUUAGAUAUCACGAAGAACUCCGAUUGCGAAGGCAGCCUGCUAAGCUGCAACUGACAUUGAGGCUCGAAAGUGUGGGUAUCAAACAGGAUUAGAUACCCUGGUAGUCCACACGGUAAACGAUGAAUACUCGCUGUUUGCGAUAUACAGCAAGCGGCCAAGCGAAAGCGUUAAGUAUUCCACCUGGGGAGUA
rnacentral:rRNA from 1 species